UACGAAGGGGGCUAGCGUUGCUCGGAAUCACUGGGCGUAAAGCGCACGUAGGCGGACUCUUAAGUCGGGGGUGAAAUCCUGGAGCUCAACUCCAGAACUGCCUUUGAUACUGGGAGCUCGAGUCCGGAAGAGGUGAGUGGAACUCCGAGUGUAGAGGUGAAAUUCGUAGAUAUUCGGAAGAACACCAGUGGCGAAGGCGGCUCACUGGUCCGGUACUGACGCUGAGGUGCGAAAGCGUGGGGAGCAACAGGAUAGA
rnacentral:rRNA from 1 species